UACGUAGGGGGCAAGCGUUGUCCGGAUUUAUUGGGCGUAAAGAGCGUGUAGGCGGCUUUACAGGUCCGUUGUGAAAACUCGAGGCUCAACCUCGAGACGCCGGUGGAAACCGUAAAGCUAGAGUCCGGAAGAGGAGAGUGGAAUUCCUGGUGUAGCGGUGAAAUGCGCAGAUAUCAGGAGGAACACCGGUGGCGAAGGCGGUUCUCUGGGCAUUACCUGACGCUGAGGAGCGAAAGCGUGGGGAGCGAACAGG
rnacentral:rRNA from 1 species